rnacentral:rRNA from 1 species
CCCUUAGAUGUUCUGGGCUGCACGCGCGCUACACUGAAGCUAUCAACACGUUUUCCCUCCCUGAGAAGGGCGGGUAACCUUUUGAAUCAGCUUCGUGGUAGGGAUCGGGGCUUGCAAUUGUUCCCCGUGAACCAGGAAUUCCUAGUAGACGCGAGUCAUAAGCUCGCAUCGAUUAAGUCCCUGCCCUUUGUACACACCGCCCGUCGCUACUACCGAUUGAACGUUUUAGUGAGGCAUUUGGACCGACGCAUCUCAGUUUAACCGCUGGUUUGUGUUGGAAAGACUUCCAAACUUGAGCGUUUAGAGGAAGUAAGAGUCGUAACA